rnacentral:rRNA from 1 species
UACGGGGGGUGCAAGCGUUGUUCGGAAUUAUUGGGCGUAAAGAGCGUGUAGGCGGCUUGAUAAGUCAGAUGUGAAAGCCCUGGGCUUAACCUAGGAAGUGCAUUUGAAACUGUCUUGCUAGAGUAAGGGAGGGGGAAGUGGAAUUCCUGGUGUAGAGGUGAAAUUCGUAGAUAUCAGGAGGAACACCGGUGGCGAAGGCGACUUCCUGGCCCUAUACUGACGCUGAGACGCGAGAGCGUGGGUAGCAAACAGG